AGCAGGCUGUGGGGGCAGAGCGGGAACGGGAGGGACACUCACAGGAUUGCGGCGUCUCAGCUCCUUCAGCAGGAGCUUGAGGGAGGGCAGCAGGGUGACGCGGGCUCCCUCCACUCCUUCUGGUGGCCUGUGCGCGGGGAAAGGGCAGAGAAAGAGCUGUGUGAGACCCAAGCUGCCUUGUCCCUCUCCUGCCCGCCCGGGGAGCACUCCCAAGCUGCCCCGAAGCAGCCGGGGAGCGUGCGGCGGUGGAGCGGAGAGCAGGGGCAGUGGUGAGGCCGGGGCUGGGCAGGCGUUGGCUGGACACAGCUGGGCGAAGCAGCUGCGCCAGCUGUGCCCGCUGGAGAGGUGCCCGCAGCCGUGGGGACACCUCUCCCCAGCUGGGCAGCGGUGUUUCGGCACGGUCCGGCUGCGCCUGGAGCAUCACCCCGUGCUGUGAGCCCAGCUCUUACCCAGCGUCCUCCUGACAGUGCUUUUUGGAACCGAGAGCCUUUUGUCAGCAGCCUCACAUGGGCCAGCUGGGCACUCUUGUGACCCCCACAGCUGUGUCCCACGUGAGGAUUCCCCUGCCCUUGUGAAGAUGGGACAAGUGAACUGCUGCCACGGCUCCAGGGACGACCCGGAGCCCGUGCAGCAGGGCCUGCCUGCCGGAGCAGCACCCGAGCCGCUGCAGCGGCAGCGCGUGCGGGUGACCCAGGGCUGGCGCACGAGGACCAGGGACCUCCUCCUCUUCCGGGACUCACUGGCCAUCGCCAAGGCCAAGAGAGGUGUUCCAGCCCUCUGAUCAUUCUUCGUGGCCCUCCUCUGGACCAUGUGGUUGGCCCUCUCUUGUAGACCCUAGCCUCUAAAACAUGGAGGGGUAACUCCAAGACACAGAGUGACCAGAACAGUUGAGUUUCUGAGCACCUUUGAACCUGUAUUUUUCGAUUCCUCCUUCCCAUCAGCACUUGGCAUCACCACUUCACCCUGCAAGAGCAAGGCAAGAUCAUGGUCAGGACCCAAACAGAAGUCUGGACCUUCUUGUCACUCAACAUUUGAGCACAGAGCCAGUGGGAAGGUAGAGGAGAUGAAAGGAUGAUCGGGACCUUUCUCUGUACAGGAUGUUUGUUCCCUAAUAGCCUGUUUGUUCCAAUAAUGAUAGCCGCCCUUCUGAGGCAGACAAGACUUUGAAAGGACUUGAAAUGAAUAAGUUGCUAUUUCACAAGUGGAAUAUACUUUUGGUAACUCCUACAAUAAUUUGACGUAGGUAUAUGUAGGAGAAUACAUGGUAUAAAUCCAACCACAGCUUUUGCAAGUGAUCAUGGGUUGCUGCUUUAGAGUGGAAAAGCGGCCGAGCCCUCUUGUACAUGACAGCAGUGAGAUUCAUGUUCCAUUCUUUGCACACAAGCUACUUGGUGGGGUGGUGGCCAACCGUCUGGGUGACUUUGGACUUCUGGAAGUUCUGCUGCUUUCUUGACACUGCAGAGAAACAAAAGCACCUUCCAAAAAGCAGCCAUGGGUAUUUCUAGCUUCUCAGGAGACACUCUGGCUGAGGUGGGAAGGGCUGCUGUUUACCCUUCUAAGAGCUUCAGAAGCCCAAACGCAUGCUGACGUUUGUUCUGCCUCCAGUUACAAUAGCAACCAAUGGGUGCUGUGGCUUGAGGGGCUCCCUGUGA